GAUGGUGUGUUCAAAGCAUUUUCACAAAGGUAAGUUACUUAUUCUCUGUAAAUGUUAUGUUGUGGGCAAAUAACCAGCGUUUUUUUUUACUUAACCAGACCAUUAGAUUUGACAUUAGGCCAAUGUUAACUAGCAUGAAAUGGCUAGAAAAUUAGCUUUCCAAUGUGCUAGCGUAAAACGUAACCUUAACCUUAAUCAGUUUUAAAUGUUGGUACAUGUAGGUACAUAGCAAUUUAUUUGGUGACUGUUUGCAGGCAAACCUGCUUAUGAAAUGAUUUGAGUGUGAUCCUGACUGGGCCCCUUCCCUGUACCUCGGCCAUACUGAGGUCAAAGUUACUAACACAGACCGGUUCAAGCGGCUUAGGAGAAGAGCGACGAGGUCACAACAACCGCAACCCCCCCACACUGGUCCUGAGGCUGAGUUCGAUAUUGCUGCACCUUUAUACCCAGACAACACUACAUCUGCAACUGAGAUGGAAGGUCUCGUGAAUCCACCCCCAUCUCCGGGCACUGUCCACACCGGUCCUGAGACUGAGCUGAAUGAACCAGCACAUUUGUUCCCAGACUACUCUGCACCUGUGGCUGAGAUAGAAGGACAAGAGACUCAGCCCCUACCACCAGCCCCAGACAAUGCAUGCAGAGAGGAAGAUAUGGAGACUGAAACAUCAGGGGAUGCUGGUGCUCCAAUGGGGAAUGCAGAUGAAC